rnacentral:rRNA from 1 species
AGUGAACGCUGGCGGUAGGCCUAACACAUGCAAGCCGAACGGCAGCACAGGAGAGCUUGCUCUCUGGGUGGCGAGUGGCGGACGGGUGAGGAAUACAUCGGAAUCUACUCUGUCGUGGGGGAUAACGUAGGGAAACUUACGCUAAUACCGCAUACGACCUACGGGUGAAAGCAGGGGACCUUCGGGCCUUGCGCGAUUGAAUGAGCCGAUGUCGGAUUAGCUAGUUGGCGGGGUAAAGGCCCACCAAGGCGACGAUCCGUAGCUGGUCUGAGAGUAUGAUCAGGCACACUGGAACUGAGACACGGUCCAGACUCCUACGGGAGGCAGCAGUGGGGAAUAUUGGACAAUGGGCGCAAGCCUGAUCCAGCCAUACCGCGUGGGUGAAGAAGGCCUUCGGGUUGUAAAGCCCUUUUGUUGGGAAAGAAAUCCAGCUGGCUAAUACCCGGUUGGGAUGACGGUACCCAAAGAAUAAGCACCGGCUAACUUCGUGCCAGCAGCCGCAGUAA